UGGAGUUGCUGAAUUAGAGAUCGGCACUCUAUCUUUUUAUCUAUAAUUUUGGAGUUUAAAAUGUCUCUAAGCGUUGAAGCUAAAGCUAAGAUCGUUUCUGAGUUUGGUCGUGGUACU
rfam:Buttiauxella agrestis ATCC 33320 GBAG.assembly.063, whole genome shotgun sequence.